GACGACGCUGGCGGCGUGCCUACUACAUGCAAGUAGGACGAGUUGCGACCGGGUGAGUAACGCGUGGUAACCUGCCUAUUAGAGGGGGAUAACUAUUGGAAACGGUAGCUAAUACCGCAUACCAUCGGAUGUGCCCAGAUGGGAUUCUCUAGUAGGUGGGGUAAAGGCUCAACAAGGCGACGAUCCCUAGCUGGUCUGAGAGGAUGACCAGCCACACUGGAACUGAGACACGGUCCAGACGCCUACUUGAGGCAGCAGUGGGGAAUAUUGCACAAUGGGCGCAAGCCUGAUGCAGCCAUGCCGCGUGUAUGAAGAAGGCAUUCGGGUUGUAAAGUACUUUCAGCGGGGAGGCGUUACCCGAAGAAGAAGCACCGGCUAACUCCGUGCCAGCCGCCGCGGUAAUAC
rnacentral:rRNA from 1 species